CAGCCGCCGCGGUAAUACGUAGGGUGCAAGCGUUAAUCGGAAUUACUGGGCGUAAAGCGUGCGCAGGCGGUUAUAUAAGACAGAUGUGAAAUCCCCGGGCUCAACCUGGGAACUGCAUUUGUGACUGUAUAGCUAGAGUACGGCAGAGGGGGAUGGAAUUCCGCGUGUAGCAGUGAAAUGCGUAGAUAUGCGGAGGAACACCGAUGGCGAAGGCAAUCCCCUGGGCCUGUACUGACGCUCAUGCACGAAAGCGUGGGGAGCAAACAGGAUUAGAUACCCCAGUAGUCCCUGUCUCUUAUAA
rnacentral:rRNA from 1 species